rnacentral:rRNA from 1 species
ACUCCUACGGGAGGCAGCAGUGGGGAAUUAUUGCACAAUGGGCGCAAGCCUGAUGCAGCCAUGCCGCGUGUGUGAAGAAGGCCUUCGGGUUGUAAAGCACUUUUCAGUUGUGAGGAAGGUGGUGUCGUUAAUAGCGGCAUCAUUUGACGUUAGCAACAGAAGAAGCACCGGCUAACUCCGUGCCAGCAGCCGCGGUAAUACGGAGGGUGCGAGCGUUAAUCGGAAUUACUGGGCGUAAAGCGCAUGCAGGUGGUUUGUUAAGUCAGAAUGUGAAAGCCCGGGGCUCAACCUGGGAACUGCAUUCAAAACUGACUGACUAGAGUAUGGUAGAGGGUGGUGGAAUUUCCUGUGUAGCGGUGAAAUGCGUAGAUAUAGGAAGGAACACCAGUGGCGAAGGCGACCACCUGGGACUAAUACUGACACGUGAGGUGCGAAAGCGUGGGGAGCAAAC